UUAAAUUAUUUAGUUAAAUAUAAUUAAAUAAAAAUAUGAAACUAAAAGUGAAAGUGUGAAAGUAACACUUUUACUAUGCUGUACUGUUAGUCUCUGUUUAAAUUGAAUUGGACUCCGCCGAGCCGCUCCUCUCAAUCCAGAAAUCCGGCGACCCAGCGCCCCUCGCCCGCCCGUCGUCGCCGUUCUCCUCGCCUCGCCAGCCCGCCAUCGCCGUUCUCCUCGCCUCGUCCGCCCGCAGUCGCCCACUCGGUCCCAGCCCCCGCAGUUCCACCGCGACCCUCGCCCAGUCGCCCUAUCGUUCCCGUCGUUCCGCCGCCGCCGAGCUUGUCGCCCUGCAGCAGCCGUGCCGCCUCCGAGCUCCAACAACGUCACACUCUUCCUCCUCUUCUUCUUCUUCUUUAAUACAAAUUUCCUAUGUCAAUGUUGAAUAAUUGAAUUUGCUGCUUUGAAUAAUUGAAUUUGGUCCUUGAAUUUCACUAUGUCAAUGUUGAAUUUCGGCUGAAUUUGCUGAUUUGAAUUUGCUGCCCUGCUUUGAAUUAGUUGCCAUGCCCCCUGCUUCAUUUCGUCCUUGUUAUUUGUUGGUUGUCUCUUUGUUGUUUGUUACACGUAGAGGCUCUCUAUGUAUUCGGGUAAUUUAGGGUACCCGAAUACCCGAGUCGGGUAUUAGGGUACCCGAUUAAGAAAUCGGGUUCGGGGUCGUGUAUCAGUUUCCGGCCUUAUUCGGGGUUGGGUACCCGAUUCCGACCCGAUUCCCAGCCCUAAAAAAUUUUAAAUCUUAUACAUUUCUUCGUUUAUUGUGAAACUCACUUUUCGUCGUUCUAUGUUGGUAAACAUCAGGGAUCUGUCAAUGGCUGACUCUUCCAAGUCCUUGAAACUCCCCAACUCUACUGCUACAGGGGCAACAUUUUUAUGGAGUAAAAGAUUUUUGAAAACGAGACGGGUGAUGUUAAGCUUAGGUGCAUGCGUUUGAAAGAAUGCUUCUUGAAAAAUUGGCUGAUGAGUUGCAUAUCUUCUGCCCUAGUUGAAGAGUGGGUAGAUGAUUACUUUUUAUUUUUUAAAUUUUGGGGGCGUUUAUAUUUGAAUUUCUGAUGUCCUGAUUGCAUAAAAUUUAAAUAAAAUUGAUUUUCAUGUUUAUUGAUUGAUUUGGAAUGGUUAACUCAUUUCAGUUUGGUCUUUUUCUGACAUACGAAGAACUCAAUGCGCCAUUUGGGUGGUAAAGGCUUGUUAAAUUUUGUUGGCUGAAAAGUGGAAAAUAUUGUUAUGAUAGUUUGAAGUUAACUCUGAUUCAUUGGACUCAUUAUUCUUAUAUAUGUGGUUGUGAUCACAGGGCACAAGAAAAUGAAAGUCAAGAUUAUACGUAUCCUACAUAUGUGUGUGUGUGCAUACAUGCAAUUGGAUAUCUCCAUGGGCGUAUUAGCAUAUUCCAUAAACAAGAUUAUAAAUUAUGUCCUAUUAUCUGGUUAUAGGUCGUAAGGUGUGAUUACCAGGAUUAACUUUUGAGUAAUAUUGUUUCUGUAAUUUGUAUAAGUUGAAUAAUCAUUUUUUUUUUUUGUAUAAGUUCAAGUCUUUCAUUGUUUCCUUAGUAGUGAAAUACAUUAGUCUCUAACAAUUUUUAUUUAUUUUUUGAGGUAAUGAUAUA